ACGAACGCUGGCGGCGUGCUUAACACAUGCAAGUCGAACGGAAAGGCCCUUCGGGGUACUCGAGUGGCGAACGGGGUGAGUAACACGUGGGUGAUCUGCCCUGCACUUUGGGAUAAGCCUGGGAAACUGGGUCUAAUACCGAAUAUACCCUUCUGGCUGCAUGGCCUGGGAGGGGAAAGCUUUUGCGGUGUGGGAUGGGCCCGCGGCCUAUCAGCUUGUUGGUGGGGUGAUGGCCUACCAAGGCGACGACGGGUAGCCGGCCUGAGAGGGUGACCGGCCACACUGGGACUGAGAUACGGCCCAGACUCCUACGGGAGGCAGCAGUGGGGAAUAUUGCACAAUGGGCGCAAGCCUGAUGCAGCGACGCCGCGUGAGGGAUGACGGCCUUCGGGUUGUAAACCUCUUUCAAUAGGGACGAAGCGCAAGUGACGGUACCUAUAGAAGAAGGACCGGCCAACUACGUGCCAGCAGCCGCGGUAAUACGUAGGGUCCGAGCGUUGUCCGGAAUUACUGGGCGUAAAGAGCUCGUAGGUGGUUUGUCGCGUUGUUCGUGAAAACUCACAGCUUAACUGUGGGCGUGCGGGCGAUACGGGCAGACUAGAGUACUGCAGGGGAGACUGGAAUUCCUGGUGUAGCGGUGGAAUGCGCAGAUAUCAGGAGGAACACCGGUGGCGAAGGCGGGUCUCUGGGCAGUAACUGACGCUGAGGAGCGAAAGCGUGG
rnacentral:rRNA from 1 species